rnacentral:rRNA from 1 species
UGAGGAAUAUUGGGCAAUGCCCGCAAGGGUGACCCAGCAACGCCGCGUGGAGGAUGAAUGUCGUAAGAUUGUAAACUCCUGUUAGAGGGGAAGAAUCGUACCGGUUGGACCGGUAUAUGACUGUACCCUCAGAGAAAGCCCCGGCUAACUACAUGCCAGCAGCCGCGGUAAUACGGAGGGUGCAAGCGUUAUCCGGAAUCAUUGGGUUUAAAGGGUACGCAGGCGGAUAUAUAAGUCAGUGGUGAAAUCCUGCAGCUUAACUGCAGAACUGCUAUUGAUGCUGUAUAUCUUGAAUUGAGUGGGAGUGGGCGGAAUAUGACAUGUAGCGGUAAAAUGCAUAGAUAUGUCAUAGAACACCGAAAGCGAAGGCAGCUCACUAUACUUAAAUUGACGCUCAUGGACGAAAGCGUGGGGAGCAAACA